UAGUGAGUUUGAUCCUGGCUCAGGAUGAACGCUGGCGGCGUGCUUAACACAUGCAAGUCGAACGAUGAUCCGGUGCUUGCACCGGGGAUUAGUGGCGAACGGGUGAGUAACACGUGAGUAACCUGCCCUUAACUCUGGGAUAAGCCUGGGAAACUGGGUCUAAUACCGGAUAUGACUCCUCAUCGCAUGGUGGGGGUGGAAAGCUUUAUUGUGGUUUGGAUGGACUCGCGGCCUAUCAGCUUGUUGGUGAGGUAAUGGCUCACCAAGGCGACGACGGGUAGCCGGCCUGAGAGGGUGACCGGCCACACUGGGGACUGAGACACGGCCCAGACUCCUACGGGGAGGCAGCAGUGGGGAAUAUUGCACAAUGGGGCGCAAGCCUGAUGCAGCGACGCCGCGUGAGGGA
rnacentral:rRNA from 1 species